rnacentral:rRNA from 1 species
GUCUUCGGACCGGCUGCGAGUCCUUUUAAAUGUACUAAACUGAACUUCUCUUUGCUGAAAAGUGGUGGCGUUGCUGGUUGUGAAGGCUGCUAUUGUGGCAAAUUGGCGACUGGUUUGUCUGCUGCGGCAUUAAUGGAAGAGUGUUCGAUUCGUGGUAUGGUUGGCUUCGGCUGAACAAUGCACUUAUUGGACGUUUUUCCUGCUGUGGCGUGAUGGACUGGUAACCAUAGCUCGGUGGCUUGGCUUUUGAAUUGGCUUUGCUGUUGCGAAGUAGGGUGCAGCUUCGGUUGUCGAGGGUCGAUCCAUUUGGGAACUUAAUGUGUACUUCGGUAUGCAUCUCAAUUGGACCUGAUAUCAGGCAAGAUUACCCGCUGAACUUAAGCAUAUUAAUAAGCGGAGGAA